rnacentral:rRNA from 1 species
AGCGGCGGACGGGUGAGUAAUGCCUAGGGAUCUGCCCAGUCGAGGGGGAUAACAGUUGGAAACGACUGCUAAUACCGCAUACGCCCUACGGGGGAAAGGAGGGGACCUUCGGGCCUUCCGCGAUUGGAUGAACCUAGGUGGGAUUAGCUAGUUGGUGAGGUAAUGGCUCACCAAGGCGACGAUCCCUAGCUGUUCUGAGAGGAUGAUCAGCCACACUGGGACUGAGACACGGUCCAGACUCCUACGGGAGGCAGCAGUGGGGAAUAUUGCACAAUGGGCGCAAGCCUGAUGCAGCCAUGCCGCGUGUAUGAAGAAGGCCUUCGGGUUGUAAAGUACUUUCAGCGAGGAGGAAGGCGUUAAGGUUAAUAACCUUGACGAUUGACGUUACUCGCAGAAGAAGCACCGGCUAACUCCGUGCCAGCAGCCGCGGUAAUACGGAGGGCGCAAGCGUUAAUCGGAAUUACUGGGCGUAAAGCGCACGCAGGCGGUCUGUCAAGUCGGAUGUGAAAUCCCCGGGCUCAACCUGGGAACUGCAUCCGAAACUGGCAGGCUAGAGUCUUGUAGAGGGGGGUAGAAUUCCAGGUGUAGCGGUGAAAUGCGUAGAGAUCUGGAGGAAUACCGGUGGCGAAGGCGGCCCCCUGGACAAAGACUGACGCUCAGGUGCGAAAGCGUGGGGAGCAAACAGGAUUAGAUACCCUGGUAGUCCACGCUGUAAACGAUGUCGACUUGGAGGUUGUUCCCUUGAGGAGUGGCUUCCGGAGCUAACGCGUUAAGUCGACCGCCUGGGGAGUACGGCCGCAAGGUUAAAACUCAAAUGAAUUGACGGGGCCCGCACAAGCGGUGGAGCAUGUGGUUUAAUUCGAUGCA